rnacentral:lncRNA from 1 species
GAUUUUUCUCUAAAUUGCCACCGCCCACCAAUCUACCUCUACGGCUCUACUCGUCUACCACCACUAUCAUAGCAGCCAGCAUACGCUACAGAUGGCACCGUUAGGUCUGCCACCGCCCACCGGUCAGAGUCGAGAGGAGCAGGCGAGCAGCACUCCAGUGCAGCAGGUAGCCCGCACUCCGUAGCAAGAAUGCAAGAUUCUUUUAGUUAUUUCCCAUUUUUAUUAUCGUUUCUAAAUAAAUAAAUUGUGCUAUCUGCAACUUUCCAUCCCUUUUCGUUUAUCCUCUGAGAUUUUAGUGUUAGACUUUAUUGUUUGUUUUCUUGAUGGCUAUUGGCUGCCUGCAUUUUGAAUGACUAUUGAAGGUUUACACUUUUUUGUAUUUUCAAAAUUUAUCUCAUAACUGAUACGGAUUAUGUUGAGGAAAGUAUAUUCUAUAUUUGUUUAUGUGUAACGUUGGGCUCUUUUCUGUGCUUAUAGGCUAUAGCUACUGGCUUCAAAAAAAUAAGUUAUGUUAGCUAUAGGUUAACAUUUCACCUUUGUUUUGAUUUUGUUCUUUUCUUCUAAUAAAACUUCCCUCCAAGUGCCUUAGGUAUUUUUCCCCCAGCAAUUUAACGUAUAGUAUAGACAACAGAGACUUCAUUAACCUUAUUUUAUCAGAUAUUCACACAUAGUACUUAGUUUCAUUUUCUGAUUUGCUAGAUGAAAAAUAUUGUAAGCUUCUGAAGAUUUAAUGAAAUUGGUGAUCUACCUAGAUGAUUGUGAGAACUAAGUACUGGAGUAGUACAUGGAUGGAAAUGACAUGCACAUGAACAAGAUUGGGUAAAUUGAUUUAGGCAUUUAACUUAGAAUGUUAUUAGAUUUACCACUGCUGCUAUAGCCCGUCGUAGUCCUAUCAUGUUAAGGGUAUUUUGAUCACUUUCAAGUGUUAAAAUUCAUUGAAGAAGGCAUCAAAAAUGUAUUCCCAACAUUGACAAAAAGGACAAUCAACCUAAUUUCUGAAAUUGAAUUUGGACUAUUUCACAGAAUUUUAGUAUUUGGUAUUAAGAUGGGCGAAAAAUUGGUGGUCUUUCAUUUGUGUCGUAUCUAAUAAAUAUUAAUUUUGUUGCUUUUAAUACUUAAGCAUUUAUUUGUUUUUAACUUGUUUGAGUAUUCAAAUCGACAUAAAUGGCCAACCUACCAAGUACCAACUAUAGAUGUAGCAACUUUGCUUGAUUUUUUUAAUACAUUGCUAUCUCACUCUUGGGGAUUUUUUUGUUGAAUUGAUGAUUUUUUAAUCAAUUGUAAUUGAAAAUUAAAUUGGGGCAUUUUACAGAUUAUGGAACGAUUUUUUCAACCGAAACGAAAGUCUAUACCUAGUUCUCCUAGUUCUAGUUGUGCUUAUAGUUUCGCCACUGCUUCUAGCCGAGCACUCGAGUUGUUCAACAGCACAAAGAAGUCUCGGGCUCAAUUCAAUUUGGAUGAUCUUGUAUCUGAUCCAGGAAAACGCCUCCCCAUCGAGUCAUAUGAUCCUAAUAUUAGAGAUGAUGUUAGGAUGACAUAUUUGUAAAAAGGUCCCUGUCAACCACAUGGACAUGACUUUCCAAGAAGACGAAUAGGAAAUGAUAAUAGGUGUUUUCGAAAAGAAUGAUUUUCUGAAUUUUAUUGGUUGGAGUACAAUAUAGAAAAUGAUGUGGUUUAUUGUUUGUAUCGCUACUUAUUCAAACCUGAUAGAGUAGGUGGAUAUAUUUUCACUAAGACCGGCUUUAGGGAUUGGAAGCACAAAAGUACAUUGAAAGAUCAUGUCGGGCUCGUUGAUAGUGCUCAUAAUCAAGUUUCUGCAAAGUGUACCAAUUUGAUGAAUCAAAAGCAAAGUAUCUCCCAUGUUAUUUCUAGUCAAAGUAGUAGUCAACAAAAAAAUUAUAAGACAAUGUUUACUGCCGUGCUAGAUUGUAUUAGAUUUCUCUUGAUGCAAGAAUUGCUAUCUCGUGGUCAUGAUGAAUUGAAAGAGUCUCUUAAUAAAGAAAAUCUAAUUGAGCUACUAAAUUGGUAUGCAGCUCGUCGUAAGAAAAUUAAUGAAGUACUAUUUAAUAAUGCUCUUGGAAAUGACCAAAUGACUUCACCAAGCAUCCAUAAGGAUUUGGUUAAUUGUUGUGAAGUAGAGACGACAAUGUCUAUGAUCAAUGAGAUGGACGAUUCUUUGUUUUCAAUUUUGGUUGAUGAGUCUCGUGACAAUUCUAUAAAAGAACAAAUGACAGUUGUUUUGAGAUUUGUUGACAAAAGUGUGCAGGUGAAGGAGCGUUUGUUGGGCAUUUGCCACAUCGCCGAUACUUGUGCCCAAUCACUCAAGGAUGUCGUUGAUGCAAUAUUUUCUACACAUGGAUUGAGCAUAUCUAGCCUGAGAGGUCAAGGUUAUGAUGGAGCAAGCAAUAUAUCAGGUGAGUUCAAUGACUUAAAAGCUUUAAUUUUAAGAGAGAGCACAUGUGCUAUGUAUAUUCAUUGCUUUGCUCACCAGCUUCAGUUGACAGUUGUUUUUGUGGCACAUAGGAAUGUUAUGCUUAGUGAUUUAUUUAACAUGCUUGCUAUUAUUGUGAAUUUGGUUGGUGCAUCAUGUAAACGUGUAGAUACUUUUCAAACAAGUUAUCAUUUUGAAAUUCUGGAGAUGCUUAAUAUCGAGGAACUUUCUAGUGGAACUAGUCAGUUUCAAGAAAUGAGUUUGGCACGCCCAGGUGUUACUAGAUGGGGCUCACAUCUAAAGACAGUUACUCACUUUAUUAUUAUGUUUAAUGCGAUCAUAGAUGAUCUUGAGAAUAUAUCAGAAGACAACAUAAGUUUACAGCAAAAAUCAAUGGCCAUAAGACAAAUGAACACUAUGCAAGAUUUUCAAUUUGUGUUCAGUCUCCAUUUUAUGUUUGAAAUUCUUGUAAUUACAGACAACCUUUCACAAGCCUUACAGAAAAAGGAUCAGGAUAUUCCGAAUGUUAUGAGAUUAUUGAAGUUGUGUAAGUACGCAUUGCAGAACAUGAGAGACAAUAGUUGGGAUACUUUGUUGAGUAAGGUAAUUGAGUUUUGUGUUGAUAGACAUAUUUUAGUGCCCAAUAUGGGUAAUAUUGUAGUAUUGAAAGGUCGACCUAGGCGUGCAAAUCAGCAGGUGACUUAUUAUCAUUGCUUUUAUGUUGAUUUGUAUUGUUAUGUGAUAGAUUCAAUCUUGCAAGAGUUGAAUGAUCGUUUUCGAGAAACAACUACUGAGCUUUUUACUUGCAUUUCGUGUUUAAAUCCAAGAGAUUCAUUUGCAGCUUUUGAUGUAUGUAAAUUGGUACGACUUGCUCAGUUAUAUCAUAUGGAUUUCAAUAGUGAAGAACUUUUAUUACUUAGACCUCAACUUGACAAAUUUCUUAUGCUUGUAAGAAUGGAUGAAGCUUUUUUCAACCUCAAAAGCAUAUCUUGUGUAGCUCAGAAGUUGGUUGAAACUGAAAAUUCUUGUUAUUUUCCAUUGGUUUAUAGGCUGAUCACAUUAGUUUUGAUAUUACCUGUAGCAACUGCAAGUGUUGAAAGGGUAUUCUCUGCUAUGAAUCUAAUCAAGAAUGAUCUGCGCAACAAAAUGGGAGAUGAAUUGUUGAAUGACAAUUUGGUAGUUUUCAUGGAGAAAGGUCUUUUUAUGAAACUUGAGAAUGAGCCAAUAUUGCAAUGUUUUCAAAAUAUACGACAUUGUAGAAUUCAGUUGUCUAAACUUACAAUUACAUAGUAAGGUUGUAUUGUAUGUUUUUUUAGCAUUUUGGGUUGUAUUGAACUAUAUUUUCAUAUGUAUAUAUUUUCUAGAUUUUAGUGUAUUUAUAUAUAUAUUGAAUAAUUUUUAAUAUUAUUUAAUCUAAUUUUAAUAAACAAUUGGCCGCCGAUCGGAUCGGGCUUUUACGAUCGUUGAUCGUCGAUGGUCAAUGGUCAAAGUCAACCUCCGCCCUAGCUAAACGUUGAUGCUAGAUUCGCCACUGAAUGACAUCAUCGAAAAUUGACGGAACGUGAUUAUUUUCUGAAGUGAGAAUGCAGUGGCCAUGUUGUUUCUUCCAAAUUCCUUCGGUUUGCAUGUUUAUCUCUUGAUUUUCAUCCCAAUUCAGCUGCCACAUUUUUCUCUUAUUGCCUGUGUGUCUCUCCCCAGCCGUCUUCUUUAAUUUUCUAACUCGUGCCUGUGUAUAUGUAUGUGCUUCCCAAGUUGCCAAUGUCCGUAUAUCUCAUAUAAUUAAGCAACAGGCACCUUAAUUCUCCUCAAGUUCAGAUGCCUUUUUUUGUUUAUAUUUUUAUCUUCCAUAGCCGUAAUUGUAUGUAUAUCUCUUUUCUCUAAGCAGCUGCGCAAUAUGGGUUAGUAUAUUCAAUUCCUCCUGUCACCGUUUUUCUCUAUAGGUUUAAUCUCCAAUUUUCCUCCCCAGGCAGCCGUGUAUUGAUGCGUGUAUAUAUACAUAAUUAAAGUGGCAGUUUUUUUUUUUUUUCUCCAAAUCAGCCCUCCGUUUCUUUCUUAGUUGGUGUGUAAAUCCCUCCAAAUUGUUGUUGGACUUCCAUUAAAACUUCACUUAAUUAUGUAAUUUGAUUCUAGUCACAAGUCUGCUUGAGGCCCAAUUAUUUCUCCACGAAUUUUCUCUCCAGCUGCCCAUGUUUUUGUCUCCAAUUUGAAGUCAAAUUUCACCAAACAAAAUAAUUUGAACCCAAUUGGUUAAUGGAUUUGAAUUCAAACUUAACUCCAAAAGUUAGACCCAUUUAAUUUAUUAUUUUCUUCAAGUCCUCCACUUUCUAAGUGUGAAAUUUGAUCACCAAACUUUGCAUUAGAUGGCCGAUUAAUCCUUUAUCCUUUUCCAAAUGCCCCAAACGAGUCAAUCACUAAAAACACAAUGAAAACUAACCCAAGUUAAAUAGAAAUUAAUAAUUUGACGACUUAAAAGUUUAAUAAUGUAGCAUAAAUAAAUACACAAAUUGCACUUAUCAACCACCAUGAACGCAUGGGGACAUGAUGUUUAAAGAUGGUUCCUUGUGCAAAAUAGUGUCAAUGAAGUUAAUAAGUACUUUGGAUGUAGAACCAACUUUUGACGAACUUGAGAAAUUUAGGCAUCCUGUUGAAAUGGGGGAUGGUGAUGCAUCUAAUCUAUCAACUCUGUUUCAAAUUAGAAACAAAAGUUAUUUCAAGAAUGGAGAUAGAGUUAUGGUUUUCACUGGCGAAAUUAAAAAUUGAAAGGUAGGGUAGAGAAAAUAGAGGGAGAUGAAGUGCAUAUAAAACCCGAUAAAGGGGGUCUUCCGGUAAGUGAAAAUUACACAUAUUCUUAUGUGUUAUUUUGAUGGAGUUUCUACUCUUAAUUAAGAAACUUAAUUCUCUCUCUUGUUAAUUUACAUUUUGAUUCGUAGGAAACUCUAGCUUUUAGCCACGGAGUGCUUUCCAAGUAUUUUAAACCUGGAAAUCACUUCAAAGUUGUAUCUGGAGCUUCAGAGGGCACAACUAGAAUUGUGGUUUCAGUGGAGGGGCACGUUGUUAGUAUGGGGUCGGAUACAACCAAGGACAUUGUAUAUCUAUAAUUCUUUUCAAGACAUUCAUGUUAACUAAAUUCAAUGAUAUCUUAUCUUUUUAACAUUUUUGGCUCCUGACAUUUUUCGACAGUGUUGUAGAAAGCUCUGAGGUAGGGUAUCACACGAAUUGGAGAUUGUGAGCUUCAUGAUCUUGUUUUAAUGGUGUAAGAUUUUCUUCAUGUGGGCAAUUUAUGAUCAUCCUACAAUCGUACUUGUUAUUUUAAUUGAUUAAUAUUUACUUAGGUAAGCUAUUAUCAAUUUUCUUGGUGUAGUGAUAAUAGCUUUGGGGUGAUUGUAAGUGUAGAGAAUGAAGCUUUUCAGGUGAGCAGCCUAAAAUUAGAAGGCUAAAGUGAGUGCGCGAAAUUUUGAACUUGUUUUUUCACUAAUUAGGUCCUUAAGGGGGGUGCCAGAGAGAUCGAAUCUUGAACUUGUGAUGCUAAGAGAGAUCAAAUAUAAGAUUGACAAGAAACAUUCCGCAAAAGAUUGGUACAACAACAUGUUAUGAGUGAAUGAUGUAGUGAAAAUUCUAGAUGAUCCAUUCAAGGUUUGUACUCAACUC